CCUGAACAUGUCCAUCGACAACUCACUAAACUUCACCUGGUCGGCGCAAUUGCCGACGAUCAGGAUCUCCUGCAGGGAUAGGCACAUGGGUGGCGUACGUUCGAUCGGGGGCGAGGUCUGUGGACCCAGCCUGUGGGUGCUGGUGUAAUCGGCGAUCUGGGCGUCCAGCUCUUGGACCAGUUCACGGACGAGCUUCAUGCGGUUCAACAGCAGGCAGACGACGAUGAAACGGGCGUAGUACCUGAGCUUCUUCACCAUCAGGUCGCUUCUGUCCUCCUUGGCAGCGCGGCUGUAGUACGCGCGGCCGCGGAUCGCCGCGUAGAACGAGUAGGCCUCGUGAAGGUAGCUGGUCUCGCUGGUGCGAAGGUAAUAGUGGUAGUAGAGUUGGCCGAUCUUGCUCGCGAUCUCGCCGAUCUGCCACCUCUUCAGGCCGUACUUCGUGUCGAGUACCGUCCUGGAACAACGAUAUGCGCGUGUAGUGUCACGCGCGCCUUUUAUGGUUAUUGGUCUGCCAGGCGAACACGCGACAGAAUCGCAUUAAUCACGCUAUUACGUUUUGCAGCUUUUUCGCCGCCCGAUAACGAUACUUCCUUUCCAACGAACGGAACGAGCAUCAUCCACGGAUGGACACGUGGAUGGAAAGGAACAAAGGGAAAAAUGGGAAGAAGGGGGAAGGAAGAAAGGAAACACGGAUCAGCGAUACUUUUGAAACUGGCUGCCGCACGUUUCGAGAAACUUUCCCCUAUUGUUUUGUCGAGUAUCCUGAAAGAGCGUCCCCGAUAUUUAUUAACAUUUGACGGCGCCACGAUCGCGUGUCUACCUAUGUACGCUGUGCAUCCACGUGUUACACGCCGUAUUGCACGUACUACACACCGUACGUGUGUAUAUAUGCGCGCGAGGCGUUGUGAAUAGCCGGAUAGACAAUUGACUCUUUGUCGAGUCGCACCAUCAGUCCAGCCGGCCCAACUUGAUGACACUUUACGAUCAAAAGGGAAAGGGACAAAGGGCCGAAGAUUACCGGGCAUCCGGUGCAACAGAAUCGAAAGAGUAAAUAAAGACGUGUGAGCAAAGUGUGUGUGUGUGGAACAAGAUUCGAGUGGGCCGACGAAACAAAUUUUGCCAGGUGAGUCGAGCUAUAUGGAAUGACACUUCUAACCAAUCUUUCGCGAUUUUUAAAGUAAUAAUUUUUAAAGCAAGGAAAAUUUGAAGUAUAUAACGAGUUUUCGUUGUGCGAUGAUUUUACAAAUGAGACGAUAACAGAAAAUUAACUUUUCAAUGAAUGUAUAUAUAUUAAAUGAUUUAAAAAAAAAUGUUACGUUUAUUAUUCUCGUAGAAUUUAAGACUGAUGAUUUUUCAUUGAGGAAUCAAUCAAGAGAAAGGCCAAAGGAUGCCAUCAAGUUGAUAAAAUUUUAAUAGAGAUUAUUGAAUAUAAUCCACGACAAACGAUAAAGGAGAGCGUGUUUCAAAGGAGUCUAAGGUAUUCUAUAAUUGUUCACUAGUCACUUGACAUAAAUAGAAAGAGCAAAGAAAGUGAAGAAAUGGAUAUUGCGCGAGUUUGAACAUGUACAGAAACAUGUACAAAUUGGACGAAGAAAAAAUAAAUGGAUUAUAAAAUA